GCAAACUUGGUCAUUUAGAGGAAGUAAAAGUCGUAACAAGGUUUCCGUAGGUGAACCUGCGGAAGGAUCAUUACCGAGUUAGGGUCUUUCUCAGGCCCGAUCUCUCAACCCUAUGUUUACAGAACCUAUGUUGCUUCGGCGGGCCCGUCUCUCGACCGCCGGAGGACCGUAAGACGUCCUCUGGCCCGCGCCCGCCGGCGGCCAAACUUUGACAAACUCUUGAUAGAAUCGUGUCAAAUUGUCUGAGUACCAUUCUUAAUUAAAACAAAACUUUCAACAACGGAUCUCUUGGUUCUGGCAUCGAUGAAGAACGCAGC
rnacentral:misc_RNA from 1 species